CAGCAGCCACGGUAAUGCGUAGGGUGCAAGCGUUAAUCGGAAUUACUGGGCGUAAAGCGUGCGCAGGCGGUUAUAUAAGUCAGAUGUGAAAUCCCCGGGCUCAACCUGGGAACUGCAUUUGAGACUGUAUGGCUAGAGUAUGGCAGAGGGGGGUGGAAUUCCACGUGUAGCAGUGAAAUGCGUAGAGAUGUGGAGGAACACCGAUGGCGAAGGCAGCCCCCUGGGCCAAUACUGACGCUCAUGCACGAAAGCGUGGGGAACAAACAGGAUUAGAGACCCGCGUAGUCCCUGUCUCUUAUAA
rnacentral:rRNA from 1 species